rnacentral:ribozyme from 1 species
UGCCCAGCAACUCCUAUCCCUACCUCCGCGUGGCACCGGCCGGACUGCGAGCAUUCUUAGGGAAGAUCGGGUAACCAACCCCGGUGGGAACUUUGGUUACAGGCUGAUAGAGAAGG